rnacentral:ncRNA from 1 species
UAAUUUGAAUGCAAUAGCUAUCGAUGAUUUUCCAAUUUUAAUGGCAUCAUGCCGUGUUUUUUGCUGGGCACUAGACUUGAAAAUUGCACUAUAUACUCUGGUUGACAGCGUUUGGGCUGUGAAUGAGUCUUCUGCAAUCGGUAUCGCCCGACUGCAACGUUCUUACUUGUUUGAUUUAAUAAUUUGGUAUAACUCCAAUUACUCAGGUAUGAUCCAAUUCAAGGACAUUGCCAGGUAGGGAAUUUGACUGGGGCGGUACAUCUCUCAAAUAAUAAAGGAGGUGUCCCAAGGCCAGCUCAGUGCGGACAGAAACCACACAUAGAGCAAAAGGGCAAAUGAUGACUUGAUCUCGGUGUUCAGUACACAAAGGGACAGCAAAAUCUCGGCCUAUCGAUUCUUUUGGUUUAAAGAGUUUUGAACUAGAGGGUUCAGAAAUCUUACCGUAGGGCUAUCUGGAAUGAGGGGGUCAAGUGUUCAUAGAGAAGUCGGUUUUUGAUCUUUCGAAGUCGGCUCUUCCUAUCAUAAGAAGCAAAAUUCACCAAGCGUUGGAUUGUUCACCCAUGCAAGGGAACGUGAGUUAAAGUAGACCGUCGUGAGACAGGUUAGUUUUACCCUACUAAUGACAAAACGUUGUUGCGACAGCAUUCCUGCGUAGUACGAGAGGAACCGCAGGUACGGACCAAUGGCACAAUACUUGUUCGAGCGAACAGUGGUAUGACGCUACCUCCGUUGGAUUGGCCUCUAUGGUCCUAUCCAUGCUGGACUGUAAUGAUAAAUAAGGGGCAAUUUGCAUUGUAUGGCUUCUAAACCGUUAAAAGUCUAUAAUUCAUUUUAUAGACGACAAUGGAUUUGAUACCAAUGUUAUAUAUAACAUAGUAAAUUGGGAGGAUCUUCGAUCACCUGAUGCCGCGCUAGUUAUAUUUUAAAAUAUUAUUUAAUACAAUCAAUUGUAAACGACUUUUGUAAUAGGCAAAGUGUUGUAAGUGGUUGAGCAGCUGCCAUACUGCGAUCCACUGAAGCUUAUCCUUUGCCUGAUAUGAUUC